GAUGAACGCUAGCGGCAGGCCUAAUACAUGCAAGUCGAACGGUAACAUGAGUAGCAAUACUUGAUGACGAGUGGCGCACGGGUGCGUAACGCGUAUGCAAUCUACCUUUAACUGGUGAAUAGCCCGAAGAAAUUCGGAUUAACACACCAUAGUAUAUUUGAAUGGCAUCAUUUAAAUAUUAAAACUCCGGUGGUUAAAGAUGAGCAUGCGUGACAUUAGCUAGUUGGUGAGGUAAUGGCUCACCAAGGCUACGAUGUCUAGGGGAUCUGAGAGGAUUAACCCCACCAC
rnacentral:rRNA from 1 species